CAGGAGCACCAACUCGCCUUGGAAUGCCUCGAGUCUGUCAUGAAACAAGGCGAUGAAGAAGAAGAGCAAGCUCUAGCGAGCGAGAUCGACCGGUGUAAGGUGUUCCUCCGGCAAAGCCAGCACGGCGACUACGAUCUCUCUUCUUACUUCCUCCCCAACAAGGCCAGCGACACGCCAUUUCAAUGCAGUGACUACUUCGGUCCUCUGGAGAUCAAGCACACCCACGACGGGCGAGGACGGGGGAUCUUCCUCACCCGCGACGUCCAACUCGGGGACUUGCUGCUCGCUUGCAAUCCAAUCGCGGCUGUGUCAAGCGCCGCUUCCCAUGACGCAGACGAGGACUUGGUGGUGGAGAUCGUCAAGGCGUGUGUGGAGUCCGAGCGGCGGCUCAAGCAGAUCUAUGCCAUGGCCGACCGCGAGGCAGCCGAGGUGACGGCACUGCCCGACUUGGCCCCGUUCAAGUGUAACACCGGAAAGGUGGCGGCCACGCCGAGAAGCAGCCGGGGCGUGGACGUUGCCAGGAUUCGAAGAGCUCGCGAUCGAGUGGGCUACAGCUCGCAGGGAUCUGGCGGCUCAUACGUUCCGGGGCUGUGGGCAUCGGUGGGAUUGAUCAACCACUCGUGCAUUCCAAACGCUUCCAAGAUGAGCAUCGGCGAUGUGGUGUUCGUGAGAGCUGCCAAGGAUCUCAAGGCCGGGGACGAGGUGCUGCUCUCGUAUCUGGAGCCGCCGCUGGCUCCCUACGCCGGCUACCGCGAGAAGAUGAUCCAGCAGUACAACUUUGAGUGUAGCUGCGAGCGAUGCAAGCUGGAGCAGAGCCACCGUCAUGUCUUGGGUGAUCUUCCCGGCUACGAAGACGAUCGCGGGGGAUCGGGGCUGGCGAUCAAAGUCGACGACGAUGUCAUGGACGUGGUGGUGGAGAUUGAGAAGCGGAUCAAAGGGAUGAGCGAGCAGGAGAAGGAUUGGAUUCGUGCUGGGUUUGUGGAUCACUACUUGGCUGUUUGCAUGCUCAGAGAUCCUCGGGUCCCGAUCGACUGCGAGCAGCUGUUGAGGAUCAUGCGUGAGACCGGUUCGGGCAGCAAGCACACGCUGUCGAGGAUUGCAUUCUUGUGUAACAUCAGUGGGAGGAAACCCGAGACGAUGAAGGUCUUGUACGAGCAAGUUACUGCUCUGUACGGUAGACAAAGCCCCGAAGUCGUCGAUGCUAUAACACGAAAGUACCGCAUUCCAAGCCUCAACAUGUAACUCCCCUUCUGCUUCUCUAGCUAGGCGUAGAUUGAUUGAUUGGAAUGAAU
rnacentral:lncRNA from 1 species